rfam:Brassica napus, WGS project CCCW01000000 data, contig: 12056
AACCCAUGGUGCAGGCAUUCUCUCUGGUACUCCUUGUACCUCUCCCAAGCUUCAUGGAAAGGUUCAUCGGACUUCUGCUCGAAAUUGGAGAUCCUGUGCCGUAGAGC